UACAGAGGGUGCGAGCGUUAAUCGGAAUUACUGGGCGUAAAGCGCACGUAGGUGGCGACGUAAGUCGGGUGUGAAAGCCCCGGGCUCAACCUGGGAAUUGCAUUCGAGACUGCAUUGCUGGAGUACGGAAGAGGAGGGCGGAAUUCCCGGUGUAGCGGUGAAAUGCGUAGAUAUCGAGAGGAACACCUGCGGCGAAGGCGGGUUGCUGGGCCGACACUGACGCUGAUGCGCGAAAGCCAGGGGAGCGAACGGG
rnacentral:rRNA from 1 species